rnacentral:lncRNA from 1 species
AUUGAGGUUGCGACAAAAGAUGUUUACUAAAUCAUUCACAACAGUUUCCAAUUUUUGAGGUCUCGAAUCUAUCUUCAACAUAUCAGCAACCACCGUUUCGAGUCCCACAUAUCAGCAGUCUCAACUCACAAGGUCUCAAGAGUCAUUCCAAUCCCAGUCGCAACCACUGAUCAUCUUCAUCAAGUCGCAAUCAAGGUUUCGGCUCUUCACGGUUCUGUUCCGAGUCGCAACCGAUAUCUCGACUCAUCGUGUUUUGUUUUCGAGUCGCAAUCACCUCCUCCCAGUGGCAAUCUCAGUUCCGAGUCGCAACCGAGAUCUCGACUCUUCACGGCCUGUCGCAACCAUCAUUUCAACUCCAUCGCCGCUUACCGUCGGCCAUCAUCAUCUUCAUCAUAUUUCCGAUCACCUCCGGUUGUCUUCUCCGAUCUGUACUUCGUCUCCGACCAACCUGUUCCGCAUCACCAUCACUUCAUUAACCUACAACGUCUUCUUCGUCUCCGGUCAGUCUCACCGUUCACCACUACAGAUCAUCGUCGACCGUCGUUCACCUCCGACAUCAAUCUACCCACUGAUCACUAUCCAUCUCCGUCGUGUCAUCAUAAUCAGUGUGGCGGCUGAAAAGGGAACUCAUAGGGUUCGGUUGGAUUAAACGAAGAAGAAGAUAUACAGUUCUUUUAGUUAUUAGGGUUUGGUUAUUGGUUUUACGAAGAGGAUAAUGUUUUGUAAUCAUUUCUUAAUCAUUAUUAAUUAUAAUAAUAAUAAUAAUAAGUAUUCCUUAUAAAUA